UUACCAUGGUGAUGGGUAUCACUAUAGCAAAGCCCCGGCCCCCCGCCCAGCUUGACCAGCCGUGUGACGCGGACGUGAGUUCACUUCCGGUGACGCCAGCGGGACGGCGAUGGGAAGCGGCCGACGGGCUCAGCGUGCACCUGGGUGAGUUGAAUAAAGCUACACCAUGGGAGAAAAAACAAUACAACGCCAUUAAGACUAUGACAAGAUUCUAAACCAACAGACGAUGAGCAGUGUGAGCAAGAAAAAGAUUGAACUGACAUACCAGCUUCUCAGAAGACUUUUAGCAGUGAUAAGAAGAAAAAGAAAGACGUUUUUACUGUUUCACCAGUGAAAGAUCUUACGGUAAAGAGGAAUCUCGAAUGCUGCUUAAGAAAAAGAAAAAAAGAAAAGCAUUUGAAUCUGGUAUUUUUGUCCUCAACAUGUGUACAUAGCUAUGUGUGUUUAAACUUGGGCAAUUUUACUAGAGCAUAAUAUUUUCUGAAUGGCAUGCUAAAGUACACUGCAUCUAGUAUGCUUUGAAAAAGGGGCCCACAGAUGGAUGAGUCUGUCUGUGGCAUUUGCACCCAUUAAACCUUAGAAUCAAGGGCGUAGCUACCGUAGGUGUAGGCAGUGCAGCUGCUAUGGGGCCCAGAGCUGAGAGGGGCCAACCUUCCCUGUCACAGUUACAUGUGUUAUAUACAUUUUUCACCAUUGGGGGUACGUAGGGGUCCUUUCAAACUUUUUCCUUGGGGUCUGCAAUAUAUCUAGGCAUGCCUCUGGACCUGCUCAUUGUAGUGUGGUAUAACAUGAACUGGAGGACAUUUUAAUGUUAUAUAUUAUGAACCGGGGCACUGUAAUGUGGCACAAUAUGAACGGGGAGCACUAUGUGUGGUAUAAUGUGUAUUGGCAGCUCUGAAAUGUGACAUAGGGUGAACUUAAGCACUAUUACCAUUCAUAAAAGAAACUAGGGCACUACUAUGGGGCAUAAUAUUUAAUGAGGCUCUACUAUGGUUCAGUAAAUGAACUAGGGCACUAUUAUAGGACAUAAAAUGAACAACUGUUGCAGAGAGGAGUUUCUCUAGAAGCAUUGGGACAGGGGCCCUUCAAAAUGUUGCUAUGGGGCCCACAAAGUUCUGGCUACGCCCCUUCCUAAAAUUUAAAUUUGCAUUUCAAACUACAGUUCAACCUACUACCAGAAACAAUUUUUAGGUCCCGGACCCCCAGCCACCUGCUUGGCACAUUGCAGGAUAUGCUGAAUUUUGGGCAUAUGUCUCUGCAUGUGCUGGGUGAAACAUUCAGCUGAAGAAUUUGCAUUUGACAAUGCGUUUCUGGAAUGGUAAAUUUCCACUGAUAUCACAAUCAUUUUUUUUAUUCAUUUGAAUAGGCACUCAAAAUUUUAUGAACAGUGCUUGCCGAAAAACAGAUCGCUUGAUUUGAAAUUUUUUGGAGAUUCCAAAUUUUUGCUUUUUUAUAUUUAAUAAACUGUAAUUA